rnacentral:misc_RNA from 1 species
UCAACCAUCAAGCCAAGCUUGUCGUUGGACCCUUUGUCGCCUAGCGACAGGUCCGAAAGAUAAUGAACGGUGUCAUGGCGACCCUAUAUGCAACGAGCUUGUAAUUAGCACGCAUUUGGUGGUCGUCUGGCCCGAUCGUCUCCUUAUAUUUUUCUCUA